rnacentral:rRNA from 1 species
UACGUAGGGACCAAGCGUUGUUCGGAUUUACUGGGCGUAAAGGGCGCGUAGGCGGCGCGGUAAGUCACUUGUGAAAUCUCUGAGCUUAACUCAGAACGGCCAAGUGAUACUGCAGUGCUAGAGUGUGGAAGGGCAAUCGGAAUUCUUGGUGUAGCGGUGAAAUGCGUAGAUAUCAAGAGGAACACCUGAGGUGAAGACGGGUUGCUGGGCCAACACUGACGCUGAGGCGACGAAGCCAGGGAG